rnacentral:rRNA from 1 species
AUUGAACGCUGGCGGCAUGCCUUACACAUGCAAGUCGAACGGUAACAGGUCUUCGGAUGCUGACGAGUGGCGAACGGGUGAGUAAUACAUCGGAACGUGCCCGAGAGUGGGGGAUAACGAGGCGAAAGCUUUGCUAAUACCGCAUACGAUCUCAGGAUGAAAGCAGGGGGCCGCAAGGCCUUGCGCUCACGGAGCGGCCGAUGGCAGAUUAGGUAGGUGGUGGGAUAAAAGCUUACCAAGCCGACGAUCUGUAGCUGGUCUGAGAGGACGACCAGCCACACUGGGACUGAGACACGGCCCAGACUCCUACGGGAGGCAGCAGUGGGGAAUUUUGGACAAUGGGCGCAAGCCUGAUCCAGCCAUGCCGCGUGCAGGAUGAAGGCCUUCGGGUUGUAAACUGCUUUUGUACGGAACGAAAAGACUCUGGUUAAUACCUGGGGUCCAUGACGGUACCGUAAGAAUAAGCACCGGCCAACUACGUGCCAGCAGCCGCGGUAACAC